rnacentral:rRNA from 1 species
GGCGGACGGGUGAGUAAUGCUUGGGAAUCUGGCUUAUGGAGGGGGAUAACUACUGGAAACGGUAGCUAAUACCGCGUAAUAUCGAGAGAUUAAAGACUGGGACCUACGGGCCAGUUGCCAUAAGAUGAGCCCAAGUGGGAUUAGGUAGUUGGUGGGGUAAAGGCCUACCAAGCCCGCGAUCUCUAGCUGGUCUGAGAGGAUGACCAGCCACACUGGAACUGAGACACGGUCCAGACUCCUACGGGAGGCAGCAGUGGGGAAUAUUGCACAAUGGGGGGAACCCUGAUGCAGCCAUGCCGCGUGAAUGAAGAAGGCCUUCGGGUUGUAAAGUUCUUUCGGUGGUGAGGAAGGUAUCAACUUUAAUAGAGUUGGUAAUUGACGUUAUCCACAGAAGAAGCACCGGCUAACUCCGUGCCAGCAGCCGCGGUAAUACGGAGGGUGCGAGCGUUAAUCGGAAUGACUGGGCGUAAAGGGCACGCAGGCGGAUUGUUAAGUGAGAUGUGAAAGCCCCGGGCUUAACCUGGGAAUUGCAUUUCAGACUGGCAAUCUAGAGUAUUUUAGGGAGGGGUAGAAUUCCACGUGUAGCGGUGAAAUGCGUAGAGAUGUGGAGGAAUACCGAAGGCGAAGGCAGCCCCUUGGGAAUAUACUGACGCUCAUGUGCGAAAGCGUGGGGAGCAAACAGGAUUAGAUACCCUGGUAGUCCACGCUGUAAAACGAUGUC